CCCAAGGAUUGGAGCAGUGAGGUAGAUCCAUAUGGCUUUAAAGUUGUUUGCAGCUAUUGCUGGUCCCAGAGUUCUCACUGGAUUCAUCGAAGCUCCCGUGGUCUCCCUACAUCAUUUGUCAGAAAGGCAAAUGCUCCAAGAUUAAGGAAUUACUCUCAAAGGAGGGGGAGGCAAUGCGCAGGAGACAGAGGGCAAUGCGCAGGAGACGGUGGGUAAGGUGCCCUCUUCCACGGCCCAAGUUUCAACACUGAAGCACUUGCAGCUCUUGAGAAGAGAUGGUGAUCUCUUGUUGCCGGUAUGACUACUCUCUGGCUUGAACCCGCCAAACAGUGCAGCCCCGCUUGUACCUGGUGUCAUUGGUGUUGAAGGAGCUGAUGCAACAUCUUCAGACUCCAUCACAACCAAAGGAAAAGCUUAAAACCAAAGACAAUUUAAAGGUAACUGAAAUACUCAGAGAAGCUUGAGCUCUCACUUCUAAGGACUGAGAGCUUCACAUGUUAACAUAUAAAUAGUUAGAAGAGUUGACUCCCAAGAGAUCAAGAGAAAAAAGAAAAGAAAAUAAGUUAGUGGAGGAAAUUGAAAUGUGGUGAAAUAAAGUGACUUUUAGAGAAGUGGACGGUGGGAACUAUCAACUAUGGUAUGCGGGAUUCAAGAAAAAAUCUUCGAAUUUCAGACAUGAGUCGUGGUUUUCCUGUCCCUUCCACUUGAUUACAUGCAAGUGUAAAUAAAUACUCAUUAUUACA